AAGACUAUAGACCUGCGGAGUACCUGCGGAGGGAUCAUUACCAAUUUAUCCUUUUUACAUGGAUAAAUUUUAUCCAUAUCCACCUUGUGUGCACUACUGAAAUGUGAGUUGGCAGGUAAAAUCCGCUUUGAGGAUUUUUGCAAGUGCGGUGAGAUAUCGCUCUCGUAGCCUGCCAAUUUUAUUUGUCUACACACGUCUCUUAGUAGUUUGGACUGAAAUUAUUUAUUGAUUAAUAAAUAC
rnacentral:misc_RNA from 1 species